rnacentral:lncRNA from 1 species
AUCGGAAUAGGCUUUGGAUUUCUCCACUUUAAUUUGUUAUCAUUCAUUUCAACAAGGAUGUGUUGAGCAUUUACCACUAACCAUGUUAUGCUAAACCAAAGGAAAUCCAUGACAAAGCUCUGACUCUCAAAAGACAUAUAAGGAAGACUUACUGGAUCACUCCCUAACUCUGAACUUCCUGCUCUAGGUGUCUGAACAACUGGGGUUUGUGCAACGUUCUGAGAAGAGGGGCACAGAAUAUUUGGGGUUUUCUGCUCAAAUCAUUUAAUACGGAGAUGCCAGUUCUUGAGAUAAACAGUAAAAGAGGAGAUAAAGAUAAGAAGGGAGACUACAAGAUGCAGCUGAAGAAAGAGAAAAGUAAUAACUAAUCUCUCCUUCCCCAGUCGCAACAAAUGGGAUCAUCUGACCAGGCCUGCAAUUUAAUUCAGUACCUGUCCUUAUGGAGAAAAGUGAAAUUCCC